rnacentral:rRNA from 1 species
AUUGAACGCUGGCGGCAGGCCUAACACAUGCAAGUCGAGCGAGCGGCGGACGGGUGAGUAAUGUAUGGGAAUCUGCCCGAUGGAGGGGGAUAACUACUGGAAACGGUGGCUAAUACCGCAUACUAUCAGAUGAGCCCAGAUGGGAUUAGCUAGUAGGUGGGGUAAUGGCUCACCUAGGCGACGAUCCCUAGCUGGUCUGAGAGGAUGAUCAGCCACACUGGAACUGAGACACGGCCCAGACUCCUACGGGAGGCAGCAGUGGGGAAUAUUGCACAAUGGGCGCAAGCCUGAUGCAGCCAUGCCGCGUGUAUGAAGAAGGCCUUAGGGUUGUAAAGCACUUUCAGCGGGGAGGCGUUACUCGCAGAAGAAGCACCGGCUAACUCCGUGCCAGCAGCCGCGGUAAUAC